UACGUAGGGUCCGAGCGUUGUCCGGAAUUACUGGGCGUAAAGAGCUCGUAGGUGGUUUGUCGCGUUGUUCGUGAAAACUCACAGCUCAACUGUGGGCGUGCGGGCGAUACGGGCAGACUAGAGUACUGCAGGGGAGACUGGAAUUCCUGGUGUAGCGGUGGAAUGCGCAGAUAUCAGGAGGAACACCGGUGGCGAAGGCGGGUCUCUGGGCAGUAACUGACGCUGGAGGAGCGAAAAGCGUUGGGGAGCGAACAGG
rnacentral:rRNA from 1 species